CAAUAGCGUAUAUUUAAGUUGUUGCGGUUAAAAAGCUCGUAGUUGGAUUUCGGUUAAGAGCGACCGGUCCGCCGUUUGGUGUGCACUGGUUGGUUUUAACUUCCUGUAGAGGACGUGCUCUGGGUUUAACGACCUGGACUCGGAGUCUACGUGGUUACUUUGAAAAAAUUAGAGUGUUCAAAGCGGGCUUACGCUUGAAUAUUUCAGCAUGGAAUAACACUAUAGGACUCCUGUCCUAUUUCGUUGGUCUCGGGACGGGAGUAAUGAUUAAGAGGAACAGUUGGGGGCAUUCGUAUUUCAUUGUCAGAGGUGAAAUUCUUGGAUUUAUGAAAGACGAACUUCUGCGAAAGCAUUUGCCAAGGAUGUUUNCAUUAA
rnacentral:rRNA from 1 species